rnacentral:rRNA from 2 species
GGGUUGUGAGGUUAAGCGACUAAGCGUACACGGUGGAUGCCCUGGCAGUCAGAGGCGAUGAAGGGCGUGCUAAUCUGCGAUAAGCGCCGGUAAGGUGAUAUGA